UCGUAUAAUUGAGAGCAUGGUGAGACUCACAGACCCACUGUCACCCACGGGAAACUGUGCCCGCUGCCUGAUAGAGGAGAUUUGAGACUUCAUUGUAGCUUUAUUUUUGCCACCAAUUAAAUAAAAUUAAAACAUGAUCCAUUAUUCCUUCCAAAGAUUCGUGAACUUCUUGAACUAAACGUAUCUUCUGAAGGAAAUCUACCUGACAACUGUUGGAGUUGUCAUGCAUGGAGAUCAAACCUUUAAAGAGUUGAUUCCCCUAACCUGUAACCACAGCAUUCGUUUUCUAUGGAGGAACAUCUUCACAUUUCAGGGGGAUAGAGAGAUCUGGAGAGUCUGGUAUGGAUAGGAGUGUGUGUCUGUAAAAUUCCCAUUGGCAUUAAAUUCUGAAAUCCACAAUGAACAGCCUUCAAACUGGUGCUAAAUUGGGUAGACGCCCUACUGCUUUCUGAGUCCAUGAGCAACAGAAAGUCCAGAGUUAGCGGAGUUGGGAAGGAGGGAGG